UUGGCAGGGCUGGCACUCUUUGAGAUCCUGAGGUCCUGGGCCCCCAGGACAGGACUGUGUUGGCCCAGGUUACAGAUGGGAAAAUACAUCUUGAUCAGGAUUGUAUCUCACAGACACUGGAAGGCCAGAGGGGGAGAAGCGGUUCCCAUACUAUCCUCAAGUCAUGAGGGAGGACAGCCUGUGUUCGGGCCACGUUUCAUCCUUGGGACCACGAGAGCCGUACGCAGGGAGGAGCAUCCUGUGUCCUGUGAGAAGUGUGCCCGAGAGGCGGCCUACAUGACGCUGGCUCCCAGGGAGAGGAGGAAGAGGAGGAGAAGGGGAAGGAGGAGCACAACGGGAGGAGGAGGGCAGAGGACGGUAGGUAAAGGGAGAGGAGGCCGAGGCCGCCAGCUGUGGAGCCGAUUUCCUAGUUCCCAGAGCAGGCAGCAGAGCCUGUCCACAACCAGCAUGGCCAGGAGGCGAGAACAGGGGCCAAAAGAAGAGGUGGUUUGGGCCUGUUUCCCUCCCUGCUUCUGGCUUGACCUUACCUCUGCCACUCCUCCAGCCUCUGUCCACUCAUGGCCUUUGGGUAAAACAUACCCUGCUGCCUCCCAGGCUCCGCUGUGCUUUCUGGGAGCUGCACAGGGUGGCGGUGGUGUUUGUUCCUUCUCCGUAUAGACUGGAUUUGGGGUUCCUCAUGCCCACUUACUGGGCUGUGGCUUUGGUCCUCGUUGGGACACUGGGGUGGGUACGGAGACACAUUUCUCUCUUCUCCAAUCUUUAUAGCCCGGCUGUCCUCAAAGGGCUACCAACUCAUCCUCCGAGGGAAAGAGAAUCUUCAAGGCUCCUGAGACACCGCCCUGAACCAUUUCCUACCUUUUGUCUUUCUUCUCUUCUCUUCUCUUCUUGUCUCUGUCUCUUUCUCUUUCUCUCUCUCCUCCCUUCCAGUUUUGCUUUUGAGGAAUGAACUUAUUAUGAAAAUUCACAUUAAUAAUAAAAGUUCAAUCAAUACAAAAGGACACACAUUGUCAUGGUUUGGACCCUAUUUUGCAAGGGUAAAAAAUAUAAUACAAGACAUAUUU
rnacentral:lncRNA from 1 species